GCUUUCAUGGAAGCGAUGUAGAAAUCGACCCAGACUAUCGUGAUGUGCAUAAUGGUGAUACACCACAGAAAGAUGUUGAAUUGCUGACAAAAUAUGUUGAAGAACACUUUGAAGGAAUAGAAUCCAAACCUUGUAUCAUAGAAACCUGUAUGUACACGAAUACUGCCACCGAUAAUCCCAUCCUCGAUGUACAUCCGCAGUACCCAAAUAUCGUCAUCGGUUGUGGAUUCUCAGGUCAUGGGUUUAAACUAGCUCCUGUGAUUGGUCAGAUUUUAUCUCAACUUGCUCUACAACAAGAACCAGAGUUUGAUAUUUCUCACAACAAAUUAUCUUGUUUCUUACGAAAUAAAUCGCGUCUAUAAUUGCUAUAGGCCCAUCUAUGGAGAUGUGAAAAUGUUUUGAUCUUGGUGUUGAUACAUCAAUAAUAACUUUAAAAAUGAGGGUCUGUAUGUCAGAAAAAACCUACCCUAGUUUUUCUACACGUUGAGUGGAUUAUGCUUGGGAAUUUGUUUUUGUUUAAAGCAAGAUUCCAAACGAAAAAGACACUCCUCCACCCAAUUAGGUUUUUAAUAUAAUUUGAGUCUGUGUCUUAUUAGCCGUCCUCUUUAGUGUCUUAGAAAAUUUAUUUGUACGUAUACAUAAAUAAAGUUGUUUCCUCCCAG